UACAGAGGGUGCGAGCGUUACUCGGAAUUACUGGGCGUAAAGCGUGCGUAGACGGUUUCGUAAGUCGGGUGUGAAAUCCCCGGGCUCAACCUGGGAAUUGCAUUCGAAACUGCGAGGCUAGGGUACGGAAGAGGGAAGCGGAAUUUCUGGUGUAGCGGUGAAAUGCGUAGAUAUCAGAAGGAACAUCAGUGGCGAAAGCGGCUUCCUGGUCCAGUACCGACGCUCAGGCACGAAAGCGUGGGGAGCAAACAGG
rnacentral:rRNA from 1 species